UAAGGAAUGUUGGUCAAUGGACACAAGUCUGAUCCAGCCAUGCCGCGUGAGUGAUGAAGGCCUUAGGGUUGUAAAGCUCUUUCGCACGCGACGAUAAUGACGGUAGCGUGAGAAGAAGCCCCGGCUAACUUCGUGCCAGCAGCCGCGGUAAUACGAAGGGGGCUAGCGUUGUUCGGAAUUACUGGGCGUAAAGCGCGCGCAGGCGGGUCAUCAAGUCAGAGGUGAAAGCCCGGAGCUUAACUCCGGAAUAGCCUUUGAAACUGUUGAUCUUGAGUACGGGAGAGGUGAGUGGAAUUCCCAGUGUAGAGGUAAAAUUCGUAGAUAUUGGGAAGAACACCAGUGGCGAAGGCGGCUCACUGGCCCGUUACUGACGCUCAGGCGCGAUAGCGUGGGGAUCAAACA
rnacentral:rRNA from 1 species